rnacentral:rRNA from 1 species
UACGAAGGGGGCUAGCGUUGCUCGGAAUCACUGGGCGUAAAGCGCACGUAGGCGGAUUGCUAAGUCAGGAGUGAAAUCCUGGAGCUCAACUCCAGAACUGCCUUUGAUACUGGCGAUCUCGAGUCCGGGAGAGGUGAGUGGAACUGCGAGUGUAGAGGUGAAAUUCGUAGAUAUUCGCAAGAACACCAGUGGCGAAGGCGGCUCACUGGCCCGGUACUGACGCUGAGGUGCGAAAGCGUGGGGAGCAAACAGG